UUAAUUUUGGGGUGGAGAAGCUUCUCUCUAAAUGCAAAAUCUGGCUUUCAGUUUUGGCAUUAUCUAAGGACACUGCAUUGCCGAAACUAGGACUGACUGACCUUAUUCAGAUGUGGAGUUUUGGUCUCGAGCAUGCUGGAGAAUUUGUGCCAGAUCUCUCUGUGGCCUAUCUUUCAAAGAAAUUCGUAUGUACCACUUACUCUUCCAAUUUAUCCUUCCUAGUAGCAUUAAACAUCCUCACCUGACUGUAGACAGUGAGAUGCAUCUUGCUGAUGCACUUCUUAUUUGGCUUGAUGCCGGCAGAAGAAUGUCGGACUUUUCAGAGAGUAGUAGUAGUCAGGAUAACACAAUCAACUUGAUGGAACAGCUAACGUUUAGAAGGCUGCGCUUUAUUUUGGGGUGGCGAGGCUUCUCUCUAAAUGCAAAAGCUGGCUUUCAGUUUUGGCAUCAUCGAAUGACACCGCAUUACCGAAACUAGAAUUGUCUGACCUUAUUCAGAUUUGGAGUUUUGGUCUCGAGCAUGCUGGAGAAUUUGUGCCAGAUCUCUCUGUGGCCUAUCUUUCAAAGAAAUUCGUAUGUACCACUUACUCUUCCAAUUUAUCCUUCCUAGUAGCAUUAAACAUCCUCACCUGACUGUAGACAGUGAGAUGCAUCUUGCUGAUGCACUUCUUAUUUGGCUUGAUGCCGGCAGAAGAAUGUCGGACUUUUCAGAGAGUAGUAGUAGUCAGGAUAACACAAUCAACUUGAUGGAACAGCUAACGUUUAGAAGGCUGCGCUUUAUUUUGGGGUGGCGAGGCUUCUCUCUAAAUGCAAAAGCUGGCUUUCAGUUUUGGCAUCAUCGAAUGACACCGCAUUACCGAAACUAGAAUUGUCUGACCUUAUUCAGAUUUGGAGUUUUGGUCUCGAGCAUGGUUAGAAUCUUGCGCGAAAUCUCUUAUUAGUUGUUAAAUUAGAUCUUGCGAAAAAUUUCGUAUGUACCACUUACACUU